AGUGAACGCUGGCGGUAGGCCUAACACAUGCAAGUCGAACGGCAGCACAGUAAGAGCUUGCUCUUACGGGUGGCGAGUGGCGGACGGGUGAGGAAUACAUCGGAAUCUACUUUUUCGUGGGGGAUAACGUAGGGAAACUUACGCUAAUACCGCAUACGACCUACGGUUGAAAGCAGGGGAUCUUCGGACCUUGCGCGAUUGAAUGAGCCGAUGUCGGAUUAGCUAGUUGGCGGGGUAAAGGCCCACCAAGGCGACGAUCCGUAGCUGGUCUGAGAGAAUGAUAAGCCACACUGGAACUGAGACACGGUCCAGACUCCUACGGGAGGCAGCAGUGGGGAAUAUUGGACAAUGGGCGCAAGCCUGAUCCAGCCAUACCGCGUGGGUGAAGAAGGCCUUCGGGUUGUAAAGACCUUUUGUUGGGAAAGAAAAGCAGCAGGUUAAUACCCCGCUGUUCUGACGGUACCCAAAGAAUAAGCACCGGCUAACUUCGUG
rnacentral:rRNA from 1 species